AAAAAUCUUACUAUUAUAUUUGUAUCAAAAUUUGUAUAAGUAUAAAAGCACUUAUACAGCCAUUCUGCUCGAAAUGGUACAGCGGUUUUUUAACUGGUGUUAUGAAUUGCAGCAACGCGAGAGUCGGCGUAUAACAGGCUUGGCGGUGUCCUGAGUGGGUACUUUGUAGGUGGUAAACAUAGAAAGUAAGCUAUGCCAUUAGUUGCUGGGCAGGACUAGCAACAUCAAGCGAAUUAGCUUGAUACAAAGUAAGU
rnacentral:sRNA from 12 species